GAUGAACGCUAGCGGCAGGCUUAAUACAUGCAAGUCGAGGGGCAGCGCGGGUAGCAAUACCUGGCGGCGACCGGCAAACGGGUGCGGAACACGUACGCAACCUUCCUUUAAGUGGAGAAUAGCCCGGGGAAACCCGGAUUAAUACUCCGUAAUAUUAUGAAGUGGCAUCACUUUAUGAUUAUAGAUUUAUCGCUUAAAGAUGGGCGUGCGCCUGAUUAGGUAGUUGGCGGGGUAAUGGCCCACCAAGCCUUCGAUCAGUAACUGGUGUGAGAGCACGACCAGUCACACGGGCACUGAGACACGGCCCAGACUCCUACGGGAGGCAGCAGUGGGGAAUAUUGGACAAUGGGGGCAACCCUGAUCCAGCAAUGCCGCGUGUGUGAAGAAGGCCU
rnacentral:rRNA from 1 species